rnacentral:rRNA from 1 species
UACGGGAGGCAGCAGUGGGGAAUUUUCCGCAAUGGGCGAAAGCCUGACGGAGCAACGCCGCGUGAGGGAUGAAGGCCUCUGGGCUGUAAACCUCUUUUAUCAAGGAAGAAGAUCUGACGGUACUUGAUGAAUAAGCCACGGCUAAUUCCGUGCCAGCAGCCGCGGUAAUACGGGAGUGGCAAGCGUUAUCCGGAAUUAUUGGGCGUAAAGCGUCCGCAGGCGGCCCAACAAGUCUGCUGUUAAAAAGUGGAGCUCAACUCCAUCAUGGCAGUGGAAACUGUUGGGCUAGAGUGUGGUAGGGGCAGAGGGAAUUCCCGGUGUAGCGGUGAAAUGCGUAGAUAUCGGGAAGAACACCAGUGGCGAAGGCGCUCUGCUGGGCCAUCACUGACGCUCAUGGACGAAAGCCAGGGGAGCGAAAGGGAUUAGAUACCCCUGUAGUCCUGGCCGUAAACGAUGAACACUAGGUGUCGGGGGAAUCGACCCCUCCGGUGUCGUAGCCAACGCGUUAAGUGUUCCGCCUGGGGAGUACGCACGCAAGUGUGAAACUCAAAGGAAUUGACGG